CUGGCGGCGUGCCUAAUACAUGCAAGUCGAACGAGUUCUCGUUGAUGAUCGGUGCUUGCACCGAGAUUCAACAUGGAACGAGUGGCGGACGGGUGAGUAACACGUGGGUAACCUGCCCUUAAGUGGGGGAUAACAUUUGGAAACAGAUGCUAAUACCGCAUAGAUCCAAGAACCGCAUGGUUCUUGGCUGAAAGAUGGCGUAAGCUAUCGCUUUUGGAUGGACCCGCGGCGUAUUAGCUAGUUGGUGAGGUAAUGGCUCACCAAGGCGAUGAUACGUAGCCGAACUGAGAGGUUGAUCGGCCACAUUGGGACUGAGACACGGCCCAAACUCCUACGGGAGGCAGCAGUAGGGAAUCUUCCACAAUGGACGCAAGUCUGAUGGAGCAACGCCGCGUGAGUGAAGAAGGCUUUCGGGUCGUAAAACUCUGUUGUUGGAGAAGAAUGGUCGGCAGAGUAACUGUUGUCGGCGUGACGGUAUCCAACCAGAAAGCCACGGCUAACUACGUGCCAGCAGCCGCGGUAAUACGUAGGUGGCAAGCGUUAUCCGGAUUUAUUGGGCGUAAAGCGAGCGCAGGCGGUUUUUUAAGUCUGAUGUGAAAGCCCUCGGCUUAACCGAGGAAGCGCAUCGGAAACUGGGAAACUUGAGUGCAGAAGAGGACAGUGGAACUCCAUGUGUAGCGGUGAAAUGCGUAGAUAUAUGGAAGAACACCAGUGGCGAAGGCGGCUGUCUGGUCUGUAACUGACGCUGAGGCUCGAAAGCAUGGGUAGCGAACAGGAUUAGAUACCCUGGUAGUCCAUGCCGUAAACGAUGAAUGCUAGGUGUUGGAGGGUUUCCGCCCUUCAGUGCCGCAGCUAACGCAUUAAGCAUUCCGCCUGGGGAGUACGACCGCAAGGUUGAAACUCAAAGGAAUUGACGGGGGCCCGCACAAGCGGUGGAGCAUGUGGUUUAAUUCGAAGCAACGCGAAGAACCUUACCAGGUCUUGACAUCUUUUGAUCACCUGAGAGAUCAGGUUUCCCCUUCGGGGGCAAAAUGACAGGUGGUGCAUGGUUGUCGUCAGCUCGUGUCGUGAGAUGUUGGGUUAAGUCCCGCAACGAGCGCAACCCUUAUGACUAGUUGCCAGCAUUUAGUUGGGCACUCUAGUAAGACUGCCGGUGACAAACCGGAGGAAGGUGGGGAUGACGUCAAAUCAUCAUGCCCCUUAUGACCUGGGCUACACACGUGCUACAAUGGAUGGUACAACGAGUUGCGAGACCGCGAGGUCAAGCUAAUCUCUUAAAGCCAUUCUCAGUUCGGACUGUAGGCUGCAACUCGCCUACACGAAGUCGGAAUCGCUAGUAAUCGCGGAUCAGCACGCCGCGGUGAAUACGUUCCCGGGCCUUGUACACACCGCCCGUCACACCAUGAGAGUUUGUAACACCCGAAGCCGGUGGCGUAACCCUUUUAGGGAGCGAGCCGUCUAAGGUGGGACAA
rnacentral:rRNA from 2 species